rnacentral:rRNA from 1 species
UACGUAGGGUGCGAGCGUUAAUCGGAAUUACUGGGCGUAAAGCGUGCGCAGGCGGUCUGUUAAGACCGAUGUGAAAUCCCCGGGCUUAACCUGGGAACUGCAUUUGUGACUGGCGGGCUAGAGUAUGGCAGAGGGGGGUAGAAUUCCACGUGUAGCAGUGAAAUGCGUAGAGAUGUGGAGGAAUACCGAUGGCGAAGGCAGCCCCCUGGGCCAAUACUGACGCUCAUGCACGAAAGCGUGGGGAGCAAACAGG